rnacentral:lncRNA from 1 species
GGUUUGCUGCACUUGACGCUGCAGGGCGGGCGGGGUAAAGAAGGGAGCGAGCCCUUCUCAAGCUUGGAAAGUUUCCAGACUGCUGGGCCAGCCUCCUCCCCAGAGGGAAACUGAGGUCCGAUUGAGGUUUCUCCAAGACCGCCCACUCCUGCUCCUGUCCCCAAACCCCUUUCUGCCUAGGGUUCCUGGAAGCCAAGGAAACAGAACGAACUGUUCCCUGGGUGGGCGAGCCACUGCAGAGUACAAAGCUUUCAGGCCGCCUGCCUCAUUAGCACUAAUGGCUGCUCCCUUCCGCCCUGUGUCGUCAGGACUGUCUAUGCCUGGUCUCAUCAGCACAAGGCUGGGUAACAGCUGAAGAAGUCCCAGGAGUCCUCCCAUGUCCUCUCAGCAACCCAGGCUGGAGCCUACUCCUUGGUGUUGGCAAAGGAAACCGUCUUUGAAGGGCAACUGUUUGAAAAUGCUGCAGAAACAUGAGAAAUGUUCAUGAAGUGACCCUGUGGAGGCUUCCGGUCACAGGAUCAUGUGAGCGCCACGAUCACCCCAGGGGUGGAGCAGAUGCUAAGUGUUCACCACACCCAAUUCUCUUCCUGGACACACAGGAAGAUGACAUUUCCAGUGACAUGCCCCACCUCUAGGCCCUAGUCUUUUUUUUAUUUAAAGGUCUGAGUCUUGUUCUGUCACCCAGGCUGGAGUGCAGUGCUGUGAUCAUGACUCACUGCAGCCUCAACCUCCUGUGCUCAAACAAUCCUCCCACCUCAGCCUCCCUAAUAGCUGAUGUCAUAUAGGCAUGAGCCAGUGUGCCUGGCUCAGGCCCUACCCUUAAAAGCAUCCCACCUGAUUCACCAGCCCCCUUCUCUCUCUCAGUAAACUUGGAAACCACGCAUUCCAGAUGGUAUAAUUUACAGCAUGAUGGAAAAAGCCAGCUCUCCAUGGGAAGCUGGCCAGUCUUCAUUGGAGUACAUUUUUAUUGCAUGAAGCCAAUGAGACUUGAUAUUGUUUAACUCUGUGGUUUCCAAAGUGCGGUCCUUUUGAAGUAUCCAUAAAGUCUACACUAGGUUCACGGUAAUAUUAAGAUGUUAUUUGUCAGCUGGGCACGGUGGCUCACGCCUAUAAUCUCAGCACUUUGGGAGGCCAAGGCAAAUGGAUAAUGAGGUCAGGAGUUUCAGACCAGCCUGGCCAACAUGGUGAAACCCAGUCUCUACUAAAAAUACAAAAAUUACCUGGGUGUGGUGAUGCAUGCCUGUAAUCCCAGCUACUCAGGAGGAGGCUGAGGCAGGAGAAUUGCUUGAAUCCGGGAGGCAGAGAUUGCAGUGAGCUGAAAUCUCACCACUGCACUCCAGCCUGGGUGAUGGAGCAAGACACUGUCUCAAAAAAAAAAAAAAAGAUAUUAUUUGUCUUUCAUGAGUGUACAGUGGGAUUUUCCAGAGGCUACAUGACAUGUGUUUUUUUAUUUUGUUUUUUAUACUGACAGAGGGGUCUUGCUAUGUUGCCCAGACUGGUCUUCCAACUCCUGGCCUCAAGUGAUCCUCCCGCCUUCACCUCCCAAAGUGCUGGGAUUAUAGGUGUGAGCCACUGCGCCUGGCUGUUUGUGACAUGUGAUGUUGAAACAGGUUGAGUAUAGAAGCAGAUAUGGGAAUUAAACCAGAAUAUUAAACCAGACAUUGAAGAGAUUUGCAAAAAAUACAAAACAAUACCACUGUUUUCACUUUCUUUUUGGUUUGGAAAAAUGUAGUUAUUUUUCAUUAAAAGUAUGUUGUGUUGGCUGGGCACAGUGGCUCAUGCCUGUAAUCUCAACGCUGGGAGACUGAGGUGGGAGGAUCACUUGAGAUCAGGAGUUCGAGACCAGCCUGACCAACAUAAUGAAACCCCAUCUCUACUAACAAUAUAAAAAUUAGCUGGGCUGGCUGAGCGCGGUGGCUCACGCCUGUAAUCCCAGCACUUUGGGAGGCCAAGGCGGGCGGAUCAUGAGGUCAGGAGAUCGAGACCAUCCUGGCUAACAUGGUGAAACCCCAUCUCUACUAAAAAUACAAAAAAUUAGCUGGGCGAGGUGGCGGGCGCCUGUAGUCCCAGCUGCUCAGGAGGCUGAGGCAGGAGAAUGGCGUGAACCCAGCGGGCAGAGCCUGCAGUGAGCAGAGAUCGCGCCACUGCACUCCAGCCUGGGCGACAGCAAGACUCCGUCUCAAAAAAAAAAAAAAAAAAUAACUGGGCUUGGUGGCAUGCGCCUAUAAUCCCAGCUACUUGAGAGGCUGAAGCAGAAGAAUUGCUUGCACCUGGGAGGGGCAGGUUGCAGUGAGCCAAGAUCGCACCACUGCACUCCAGCCUGGGCAACAGAGCAAGACACCUUCACCUUCUCAAAAAAAAAAAAAGUUGUGUUAACAUGUAAUGGUUUCAUGAUAUCAUUUUAAAUAAAUUAAUAAACAUGUAAA